rnacentral:lncRNA from 11 species
GGAAAGGGAGAGAGAAAGAGCACACAGCUUAAGUGCACACAAAUGCUGUUGGCAGAGAAUGCCGCCCUGAUCGUGUGAAGCAGCAGCGGGCUGUUAAUUCCUCCUGCGAGGAGAAGGAUCGGGCUGGCAGCUUGUAGCCGCUUGAGGAGGGAGGCUGGGAUGCCUCCGGCUCAGCCCUUCCAGUCUGUUCUUCUCCCCCUCUCCUCUGCCAGGAUUUCUUCCUUAAAGAAGGGCAAGAUCGUUUAGAAUGCUGUUCCUGUUUUCUGGAGUUUUGGCUAUCCCUCCAAAUUUGGUGUCAUUUGCAAACCUGAUGAUCAUGCCUUCUAGCCCUUCAUCUAAGUCAUUAAUAAAGUUGCUGAACAGAAUCGGGCCCAGGACGGAAUCCUGUGGCACUCCACUCAUGACUUCUUUCCAGGAUGAAGAGGAAGCAUUGCACUUAGAUUUGAGAAAGGCAUCUAGGCACAAGGUCCCAUCCAGCUGAGAUGAAAGUCAUCAUGAUAUCUGUGAGAGAAGAAAAU